AAGCAUCAAGGUAGAGAAUAUGAUCUUUUUAUUUUUGUUUAAUUAUCAUUGAUUCUGUGGACUGACGUUUGCCCGUGAUCAAUAACGAAAAAUUAAUCGAACUUCUAGCUUUUUGCC